AAUUGUAUAACUUGUGACGUGGUAGCUCAGCUGCCACGAGUAGCAGCGUUCCUCCCCCGUCACAGGCUGCGAAUUCGCGCCGUACGGGAAAAUAGGCGAGAGGCGAGAGGGGAUCUCCAUGGGGAACCGCGACAGACCUAGCGAGCGUAGCAUUAAUUUCUUAUAUUUUUGAUUUCUUUGCGCGGCGGCCGUCUUCCGAUGGAAUGCGGCGAGAGAGCGAGAGAGGAGGAGAGAGAGCGACAACGAUGCGGGGAAGGAGGAAGGACGCCGCCGGUGCCCGGGAGAGACGAGCACGCGGCCCGCACGGGGAUUCGGCGUGGCCCUGGGAGGGCCACGGCCGGAGCCUAAAGCGGCGGUGCCCGCCAACACCACGACGGAACGUCCCGAAGGGCUGUGGAGGAGCCCGGAUGGGAUAAAACGCAUCGAGGAAGGCGUCGAGUCCUCUCACGAGGAACGGAGGUCCCCGCGUGCGCUGCCCCGGCUCGGGAAGUGGCCCAGCGGGAGAAAGAAAAUUUCGCGGGGGCCUGCGAGGCCCCCGGAAGGAUUACGGCGCGCACGUUCCUGCGUACGCAGGACUGCGUGCCUUGCAGCAAUUGGGUCGCGGCGCGGAGACAAUGCGCAUGACUGGACGGGGGGUCGCGGCGUCGAUCCGGGAUCGACCGCGAUCCACCCCGCUUUUGCGUGCGAACGGUCCCGCCGUUAAGUUGCGUGUCGUGUCCCUGGUGAAGUAUCGGUGUGGCUUGUGCGAGACCUCAACCAGGGCGAAGGGACGAGCCUGGAGACGAGGGAGGACGUCGCCAGGACAUUAUCGAUGUAUCGUGUUGUCUUAGUUGACGAUUGGACGUCAAUUGUACGUAGUAUUUAGAUAGAGGCUGAUAACAUGUGUCGAUGGUCACCAAAACAUAUUAAAACAGCAACUGCUAUUAUGAAACGUAUUCAACCUAGUGAUGAUUGAUUGGCCUUAUGUUUUAAACAAGCACUUGGAUUUGAUUUUUAUGCAACAACCAAGGCAGCUGAAAUUACUUCAGUGAAUCUUUCUUCAAACGAUGACGAUGGUUUUCAACAAAUUUCAAUUGCUUCGAAUACAACACAAUUGCUAAGAAAGACCAAUCAAGCGACCCAUAUUUCAUGAUGAAUUAUUAUCUGGUAGCAGCAGUGAUGAUGAAGAACCAGAACCAAAACCAGACAAUUUUUUCACUAAUAACGGAUUAACGAAUAUUGGCUGUUCGCCGAGCUGUGCAAUCAUGAGACUUUUUAAUAGAACAGAGGAUAAUUUUAAUAUUCCCAGUAGAGGUAAUAACAAUAGAAAAAACAGAGAGAGGUACCUACAAGACACAACAAACAAUUGUAGAAAAAUUACUGGACUUCAAAAGAAGAAUGUCAUCAACAAUGAGAACUACAAAUAAUAUUACAGUUAUUUUGAACAAAAAUUAUUAAUUCAACGAAUGAAGAAAGGGCUAAGGUUGCAUAAAUUCCCAAAGAAUGUGAUUGUCGAUCCCGGAAUUCUGGUUACUUUUGGACAGUUAUUCCGAUAGCAAGAAUGUAAUAACGAGCUGCUUAUAAAAGUAAUGUUAAUUAUUAAUAAACGAUUUAUAAUGUUUAUAAAUCAUGUU